rnacentral:rRNA from 1 species
UGGGGAAUUUUGGACAAUGGGCGAAAGCCUGAUCCAGCAAUGCCGCGUGUGUGAAGAAGGCCUUCGGGUUGUAAAGCACUUUUGUCCGGAAAGAAAUCCUUGGCUCUAAUACAGUCGGGGGAUGACGGUACCGGAAGAAUAAGCACCGGCUAACUACGUGCCAGCAGCCGCGGUAAUACGUAGGGUGCAAGCGUUAAUCGGAAUUACUGGGCGUAAAGCGUGCGCAGGCGGUUUGCUAAGACCGAUGUGAAAUCCCCGGGCUCAACCUGGGAACUGCAUUGGUGACUGGCAGGCUAGAGUAUGGCAGAGGGGGGUAGAAUUCCACGUGUAGCAGUGAAAUGCGUAGAGAUGUGGAGGAAUACCGAUGGCGAAGGCAGCCCCCUGGGCCAAUACUGACGCUCAUGCACGAAAGCGUGGGGAGCAAACAGGAUUAGAUACCCUGGUAGUCCACGCCCUAAAACGAUGUCAACUAGUUGUUGGGGAUUCAUUUCCUUAGUAACGUAGCUAACGCGUGAAGUUGACCGCCUGGGGAGUACGGUCGCAAGAUUAAAACUCAAAU